UCCGGCGUGGUGUAAUGGUUCAACAUCGCUGUCUUUCAUUCGGAGAACAGAGAAUAUAACGGCGAUGAUCACAGCAGCUCGGGGUUCGAUUCCCCGCGCCGGAA